rnacentral:rRNA from 1 species
UCUUUAAGGUAUAAUUUAAAGUAAGACCUGCUCCAUGAUAACAUAAAUAGCCGCAAAAUUCUGUGCUAAGGUAGCAUAAUCAUUAGCUUUUUAAUUGAAAGAUAGAAUGAACGGUCAAACACGAUAUAAAUUGUUUCAAUUAUUUAAAAAUGAAAUUAAUAUAAAAAGUAAAAAAUCUUUUAUAAAUAAGAAAGACGAUAAGACCCUAAAACUUAUUAAUUAGCUGGGGCGGCACAUAAAAAAACCUUAUCUUAAAUAAAACACUUAACGAAUCAAAUUAAAAAGAAACAGUUACUUUAGGGAUAACAGCGCUACUUUUUUUUAAAGAUCUAAUAUAAAAAAAUCCUACGACCUCGAUGUUGA